CUAGCUGCUUCCGCAGUCGGUUUUGGUAUUGGGGACGUGGCAAGGCAGAGUCUGCGGAGGAAAAGGGCACGGCACUCCUUGAGGCAAGGAAAUGAGAAAACAAGCCCUGAUCCGAGCAGAGCAGGUCCAACUUCAGUGGCAGAUCUGGUGGCCUUGGAGUGACUGAAGACACCACUCUCCACAGGACUGCGCUCAGGCACACAGCCAUUCUUCUGAGAAGCAAAAGAGUUUGGUCAGAAACUCCAAGACUUAGCAGAGCACAAUGAUCCUGAGAACUCCAGCUGUGGGUACUGCUUUCAGAGUUGUGAAUCUUCACAAUACAAUUGGACCAGACCCUUUGGGAUAUUCUGUAUCCCAAAUAACCUAUGGAACAUAUACUUAAUCAGUUGAUGGCUAUAGACUUUUCCAUCAGCUGAAGAGAAGGGUGAUGUAUCAGUGAAAAUUCUGCUGUGUGUGAUAUCUGAGAUUCUGCUGCCU